AAUAAUAAAUAAGGAAAAGAGAAAAUGAAUAUAUUUUUUUACUUUUUCAUUGAGGAAUAGGAUAAGAAAUAAUAAAUGUAGAAAUUUUAAAAAAAUUAAAAAUAGGUCAUGUAUAUAUAAUCAAGCGGAAGGAUGGAAAGGAUCUUCUCAUUUACUUUUUCUCUUUUAUCUUCCUAUUUGACAUUUAUUUCUUUCCUUUUCUUAUUAUCUCCAACUAAUUCUUAUUUGAACAUUCAUUAUUUGCAGGGACAUGUAAAGUGUAUCUCUUUGCUAACAAAAAUAUAAAAAUACGAAUUUCGAGAUGAAAAAUCACGGGAAUAGCUGAUGAAGCAACAACAAUUUUAAGUUCUGGAAAUUUUUUCCGGCAACCACCGUGCCGGACCGCCGCGCGCCGCCUGUAACGUUCAUCUGCUCCACCGUCGAGCUUCAUAACAUCCCCGCUCAAUGAAUCUUUUUCCUACUGUGUUGUUUUUUUUUUCUUUAAUGUUGAUUUUUAUGGGAUUAGAAAAUGUGAGUUUUACUUUUUGAAAAUAAAAGAAAAGUGGGAUUAAAAGUUUGAAAGAAAA